rnacentral:rRNA from 1 species
AACGAACGCUGGCGGCAUGCCUAACACAUGCAAGUCGAACGAGACCUUCGGGUCUAGUGGCGCACGGGUGCGUAACGCGUGGGAAUCUGCCCAAAGGUUCGGAAUAACUCAGGGAAAACUUGAGCUAAUACCGGAUAAUGUCGCAAGACCAAAGAUUUAUUGCCUUUGGAUGAGCCCGCGUAGGAUUAGCUAGUUGGUGGGGUAAAAGCCUACCAAGGCGACGAUCCCUAGCUGGUCUGAGAGGAUGAUCAGCCACACUGGGACUGAGACACGGCCCAGACUCCCUACGGGAGGCAGCAGUGGGGAAUAUUGGACAAUGGGCGAAAGCCUGAUCCAGC